GAGUUUGAUCCUGGCUUCAGGACGAACGCUGGCUGCGUGCUUAACACAUGCAAGUCGAACGCUGAAGCCCUCAGCUUGCUGGGGGUGGAUGAGUGGCGAACGGGUGAGUAACACGUGAGUAACCUGCCCCUGAUUUCGGGAUAAGCCUGGGAAACCGGGUCUAAUACCGGAUACGACCAACUCUCGCAUGAGGGUUGGUGGAAAGUUUUUUCGAUUGGGGAUGGGCUCGCGGCCUAUCAGUUUGUUGGUGGGGUAAUGGCCUACCAAGGCGACGACGGGUAGCCGGCCUGAGAGGGCGACCGGCCACACUGGGACUGAGACACGGCCCAGACUCCUACGGGAGGCAGCAGUGGGGAAUAUUGCACAAUGGGGGAAACCCUGAUGCAGCGACGCAGCGUGCGGGAUGACGGCCUUCGGGUUGUAAACCGCUUUCAGCAGGGAAGAAGCCUUCGGGUGACGGUACCUGCAGAAGAAGUACCGGCUAACUACGUGCCAGCAGCCGCGGUAAUACGUAGGGUACGAGCGUUGUCCGGAAUUAUUGGGCGUAAAGAGCUCGUAGGUGGUUGGUCACGUCUGCUGUGGAAACGCAACGCUUAACGUUGCGCGGGCAGUGGGUACGGGCUGACUAGAGUGCAGUAGGGGAGUCUGGAAUUCCUGGUGUAGCGGUGAAAUGCGCAGAUAUCAGGAGGAACACCGGUGGCGAAGGCGGGACUCUGGGCUGUAACUGACACUGAGGAGCGAAAGCAUGGGGAGCGAACAGGAUUAGAUACCCUGGUAGUC
rnacentral:rRNA from 1 species